AGCACCAUCAGCAUGCUCCAGCAACAACCAGUUGAGAAGGACGAAUCAGUUCAGAGUUCAAGAAUUUCCCUUUACAUUGUUGUAUCCGUGGCUACCAUCGUUCGUGUCAUAGGCUCAAUUAUUGCCUACUUAUUAAUAUUCAAAUGCAAGAAACACAAGAAACGCGUGUUUAGCGUUGCCGGCUAUCGCCCUCGAAAUUAUCCACGAAAGGGGAGAGACCUGCUGAGCUCUACUUCAUCAUCUGUGUCGACUAGCUCGACGAAUCCGCUGUUGAACAAUCAGCGUUUUCGAAGACAUGACUCGGCUUUGUCAGACGACCGCUACUGGUGGUUGUCGAAUACGCACCUUUCGGCAUUUUACGAGAAUAUCUUCUUGAAAGAAGACUUGACCGAAACGGAGAGACCAUUCCAAUAGAAGGAGAAGAAAAGUUGUGCUUUAGGGAUUUCGUCUCCUUCAGUUAUCAAAUUGCUCGUGGAAUGGAAUAUUUGUCAGGAAGAAAGUGUAUUCAUCGCGAUCUUGCUGCCAGGAAUAUUUUAGUUGGUGAAGAUAGAGUAAUGAAAAUUGCAGACUUUGGUUUAGCUCGCGACAUUCAUCAGAUUGACUAUUACCGCAAAACAACUGACGUAUGUAUUCUGUGAAAUUGUGCCAUUAAUCCUGAUAAAUAAUUUUUAAGAAUAUGAAAACAUUUUUUGUCUUCAUGGAUUUUAUUGUUUUCGUAAAGAAACUUCCUUGUAUAUGUAUAUUAUAGUAAAUUUUCUAUUUUUGUGCCUGAACUUCGAGUGGAAAUAUUUUUGUUUGAUAUCAUUGUAUUAUAAGACAUUUAUAAUUA